GCCGGGCGCGGUGGCUCACGCCUGUAAUCCCAGCACUUUGGGAGGCCGAGACGGGCGGAUCACGAGGUCAGGAGAUCGAGACCAUCCUGGCUAACAUGGUAAAACCCCGUCUCUACUANNNNNNNNNNUAGUAGAGACGGGGUUUUACCAUGUUAGCCAGGAUGGUCUCGAUCUCCUGACCUCGUGAUCCGCCCGUCUCGG
rnacentral:SRP_RNA from 1 species